AUGCUGUUCAUCCCAGAGCCGGAGGCGCUGUGGUAUCCCAUUCAGAUCUUCAAGAUGGCAUCGCCCGUGAGAGAUGGCUCGGGGGCGGUCGGGCCACCGCCACCUCCGUCGCCGCCGCCGUCACCGCCGUCGAGGGCGGACCAGUCGGGGGGUCCUGGUGUUCAUGGCGGAGGUCCAGGACGCCGCGGGUCCACAGGGCCUUCCGGCGCGGGAUCAGACUUUGGGGAGUCGUUUGGCUCCACGGCGGCGCGGUCGAAGGUGCCGCCGCCGGAGAGGAGCAUGGAUGGUCAAGGUGGGCCAGUGCAGAUGGAGCGCCAGCUGGCUGGUCUUGUGGACGCUAGUGCGGUGGCUGAUGCGGGUGGUGAGGUGCGAUGCGGGGUGAGGGAGUCCUGGAUUAAGGGGUAUUCGGACAGCCGGACUGUGUAUAACGUCCGGAAUAUUGAAGCAUGGAGAUACAAGACUCAAGACUUCGGCCUGUGUAUGGAUGGGACUCUCCUUUGCGUGGAAGGCAAGCUUGAUGAUCCGGAUAUUGUGUUUCCUUUCUUGUAA
rnacentral:rRNA from 1 species